UUACGGCCAUAACAUGUUGAAAACCGGUUCCUGUAUGAUCACUAGAUUUAAGCAAAGUCGAGCCUGGCCAGUACCUGGAUGGGUGACCGUUUGGGAAUACCAGGUGCUGUAAG